rnacentral:rRNA from 1 species
AGAGUUUGAUCCUGGCUCAGAACGAACGCUGGCGGCGUGCCUAACACAUGCAAGUCGAACGUGAAAGUCCUUCGGGAUGAGUAAAGUGGCGCACGGGUGAGUAACGCGUGGGUAAUCUUCCUCAAAGACUGGGAUAACUUUUCGAAAGAAAGGCUAAUACCGGAUGAGACCACAGAAAUUGAGAUUUCAGAGGUCAAAGGGUGCUUAUGGUAUCGCUUUGAGAUGAGCCUGCGUCGCAUUAGCUAGUUGGUAGGGUAACGGCCUACCAAGGCUACGAUGCGUAGCUGGUCUGAGAGGACGACCAGCCACACUGGAACUGAAACACGGUCCAGACUCCUACGGGAGGCAGCAGUGGGGAAUAUUGGACAAUGGGGGCAACCCUGAUCCAGCAACGCCGCGUGGGUGAUGAAGGCCUUCGGGUCGUAAAGCCCUGUUGAGGGGGAAGAAGUUUUGGAGUAACGAUCUAAAAUUGACGUUACCCCUUGAGGAAGCACCGGCUAACUCUGUGCCAGCAGCCGCGGUAAUACAGAGGGUGCGAGUGUUGUUCGGAAUUAUUGGGCGUAAAGGGCGCGUAGGCGGUUUGGUAAGUCAGUUGUGGAAUCCCUGGGCUUAACCCAGGAACUGCAUCUGAUACUGCCAAGCUAGAGUGCGAAAGAGGAGAGCGGAAUUCCCGGUGUAGAGGUGAAAUUCGUAGAUAUCGGGAGGAACACCAGUGGCGAAAGCGGCUCUCUGGGUCGACACUGACGCUCAGUGCGCGAGAGCGUGGGGAGCAAACAGGAUUAGAUACCCUGGUAGUCCACGCUGUAAACGAUGAAUACUAGAUGUCGGAGGUUUUAACCCCUUCGGUAUCGCAGCUAACGCAAUAAGUAUUCCGCCUGGGAAGUACGGCCGCAAGGCUAAAACUCAAAGGAAUUGACGGGGGCCCGCACAAGCGGUGGAGCAUGUGGUUUAAUUCGACGCAACGCGAAGAACCUUACCCAGGCUUGACAUGUAGAGAAUCCCUAUGAAAGUAGGGAGUGCCUUCGGGAGCUCUAACACAGGUGCUGCAUGGCUGUCGUCAGCUCGUGUCGUGAGAUGUUGGGUUAAGUCCCGCAACGAGCGCAACCCUCGUCCUUAGUUACCAUCAUUAAGUUGGGGACUCUAAGGAGACCGCCGGUGUUAAACCGGAGGAAGGUGGGGAUGACGUCAAGUCCUCAUGGCCUUUAUGCCUGGGGCAACACACGUGCUACAAUGGUCGGUACAAAGAGUUGCGAACCCGCGAGGGGGAGCUAAUCUCAAAAAACCGGUCUCAGUUCGGAUUGAAGUCUGCAAUUCGACUUCAUGAAGCUGGAAUCGCUAGUAAUCGCGCAUCAGCACGGCGCGGUGAAUACGUUCCCGGGCCUUGUACACACCGCCCGUCACACCACGAAAGUUGGUCACACCAGAAAUGGCUGCGCUAACCCGCAAGGGAGGCAGGCUCUUAAGGUGAGACCAGUAAUUGGGGUGAA